rnacentral:SRP_RNA from 1 species
GCCGGGCGAGGUGGCGGGCGCCUGUAGUCCCAGCUACUUGGGAGGCUGAGGCAGGAGAAUGGCGUGAACCCGGGAGGCGGAGCUUGCAGUGAGCCGAGAUCCGGCCACUGCACUCCAGCCUGGGCGACAGUGCCAGACUCUGUCUCAA